UGUUGUACGGAAUUGAAGCCUGACAGAAAUCUAUCAUGCCUACCUACACUCUGUGGGUUCCCUUGAGUGAUUUCAAGACCGAUAAGCCAUAUUGAAUGACGGCACUGUAAAACUUUAAAUUUCAGUGAUUAGGUUAUAUUUAGUACUGUUAUAACUAGGCUGAAGAGUCUGAUCAGUCUGAUUCACAUGGUCCAAUAAUUUAAGUAUGUCACACAUGGGCAAAUAACACGUUUACCACGUACUACCAAGUACGAUUUUAAGUCUGAUCAAGACAUGACAAAGUGAUGGCAGACGAGCAUUCCUGUCCCCCCUGUGAAUUUAAUGUUGCUUCAAUUUUUCUCCUAGAAAACAGCAGUACACUUCAGAAAUCAUUGACAAUCCUUUCUUCUAGCUUCCCCAAUGAUUCAAAACCUCUGAUAGGUAGUGGAUGGAUGCUGCUGUGAAUGACUGAAUAAAAUGGUGAUAUUAAUCAAUCAAUGUAUACAUGCAGUAACAUGUUGGCUUUGAAUGGAAGGAAAGCUGAUGUGAUGCCCCUUUCUCUCUCUCUCACAAUGUGGGGGUUGUGAUUGUCUGUGGCUGGUGUGCACAAGAUGGUGAAGUUAACACCCAAUCAUGUCAUACCCCAAUUACCUCCAGGUACUACAAUCUGCCAUUGUCACACCAGACUGACCACAGACCUGUAUCACUGAUCAAUUUUUAAAAAUGCAUUCAAAGGAACACCUCAUUCAAAGCAUUGCCAACACCUGCAGUUGGAUAUUUGAUUAGCUGUCAGUGAUGGCGUGAAAUGUUAUAUGUCCAGGUUUCAGCAGGACAAGCAUUGUGCCCCAUCCAUAAGAGAGAGCAGAUUAAGCUUUUCUGUGUGACUUGUGAUCAGCGGACUUGCCGUGAUUACCUCGACUAACCUGUAAGUAAGCAUUUCACUGUAAGCUCUACGGCGCAUGUGGCAUACGAUUUGAUUGUCAGCUAACCAUCAACAGGGAACACAAGUAAGAUUUCCCUCAAGCACCUCUUUGCUGGCAACCCCGAAGGUGGCAUCAGUUCCCUCAUGCCUUACAUUACUUCCUAUGCCAAAAACACUUGAUGUUUUUUUUAAACUAAGUAUAUUUAACUCUUUCCUCUGCUUCCUUCAGGAUAUUUUUUUUAAAGAUCCCACUCUCUCAUUUUUCUGUUUAUUUUCUCUAGGUACCAGUUAGCCCAGGAUGCUUUGCCAGAGCAGAGGAAAUGGUUACAGUAUCUAAUGGAGACUUUGAGGACAGAGAGAGUGACCGUGCAACAGGACCUAGAUGGACGGCUGUCUGACUUGGAGGAUCAGCUGGAGAGUGUUGGAGCGGAGGUCAAGGAUAUCCUCAAGGGCAUCUGGAGUGUCCUGGUGAAGAGAGCCAUGCAGCUUUCCAAGGAAAUGCAGCCUGUGAGAAAGACCCAAUCGUGAUGGGAGAAGGGCACAACAGCCACUGGCUGCAAAAGGCAUGGAAUUAUUUCAAUAGGCUUUAGGUCAGUGUCCCCAACUGCACUCAGGAAGAUGACAUUGACCUCACCCUUCACCUAGCAAUGAACUCUGCUCUCCUAUAGAGGAGUGUGAUGACCGUAUGGAUGAUUUUCAUGUCGGUGCUGCUGACAGUAUUGAAGAGACUGGGUGCCAGGUGUCUGUUGGGCUUAAUAGCAGGUGUCUUUGCUUCGGAUACCCAUCCUUGGUGCCCCGCCAACCCGCUUCUGCCGCCUCCCAGGUGUCAAAGGGCAGGAAACUGUCGUUCAGCAGUCAGAGUCUCCUUGCUCCUCUAUGUUGAGCCCAGACAGUCUUGAGGCACACCCCGUGCAGCUACGACCCCCUCCUGGCCAGGAGGAAGCUCACCCCUGUGUGUCACGUGUGGACGCCGCUUCCACAGGAAGUGUCACAUUCUGCCCAUCUAUGCCUUAUCCACCACCUCUCUUAACAUCGUCCUGAUACGGGGACUGUUGCUGCGGAAACUGCCCCCUCCCCUCACCGCACCCAGUCAGAAUUUGUGUCCAAUGUCUGGCUUCUCCACACACUGUUGAAGAGCGUGAAGUAUUCCAAGUCAGUGGACCGAUUUGAGGCAUGUUUCGGGAGGGAGCUGGUCAAAACGCUUGUGGGGAUCCUGCACCCUUCGCUGCUCGUCAACCCCCACCAAGGGGAAGCGGAGAGGAGUGCAGAACAAGAGGGGGGCAAGGAGAAAGUGUCCAUGAGGAGAAUCCAAGGCCUCUAGAGGAGCACGCAGGCAGAGUUCUUUCACACAGGACUCGAUGAAAGCUGGAGAAUGGCAGCAGAAGGCCGUAUUUGUGUAUUUAAUUUGGUCUUUGAAUUCCUUGGUGAACAUAUUUGUACAUAGUUGCAGCCAAAUAUUGGCACCCUUGCACUUUUUUUUCCUUUAAAAAAAAAAAUUUCUUCUAAAAUAACUUGAAAUUUGGAAAAACCUUUGGUAUCUACACCUUACUGUAUUUUCAACAUUACAGACCCAAUUUACCCAAUUGGUAAAUUUAAGUUUACAAUUUGGCAUGUACAAAAUGAUUGGCAAGUACUUGGUUGCAUAGCCUUUGGCCAAGAACUACAGACAAAUGCUUCUUGUAGGCAUCAGUAAGGUGGCUGCAUCUUAUUACUGGUGAUUUUACUCAGCCUUCAGAAGCAAACUGCUCUAAUUCUUUAAUGUUUGAGGGGUGCCCUCCACCAACUGCUGUUGUCAGCUCUCGCCAUAGGUUAUGGAUGUGGCAACUGCUCGGCCUCGUUCCUGCCAUCCAGGACCUCCUAUACCAGGCGGUGUCAGAGGAGGCCCUAAAAAUUGUCAGACUCCAGCCACCCUAGUCAUAGACUGUUCUCUCUGCUACCACACGGCAAGCUGUGCCAAGUCUAGGUCCAAAGGUCUUAACAGCUUCUACCCCCAAGCCAUAACUCCUGAACAGCUAAUCAAAUGGCUACCCAGACUAUUUUCAUUGCCCCCUUUCCUGCACCUAUUUUAUGCUGCUGCUACUCUCUGUGUAUUAUCUAUACAUAGUCACUUUAACUCUACCUACAUGUACAUAUUACUUCUACUAACCGGUACCUACUCACAUUGACUCUGUACCGGUAGCCCCUGUAUAUAGCCUCGCUAUUUGUUAUUUUACUGCUGCUCUUUAAUCAUUUGUUACUUUUUAUAUAAUUUGGUUGUGUGUGUAUAUAUAAAAAAUAAAAUAUAUAUAUAUUUUUUUUUACUUAACACUUGUUUUUCUUACAAGUUAAGUAAGCAUUUCACUGUAAGGUCAACACCGGUUGUAUUCGGCGCAUGUGACAAAUACAAUUUGAUUUGAUUCAGAUCUGGCCACUCCAGAACAGUCCAGCGUUUCUUCUUGAACCAUUCCAGGGUGCCUUUAUAUUUGUUUGGGGUUGUUGUCCUGCUGAAAUUACCAUCAACCUUCCAACCGAGACCAAGUGUUUGGACACUGGGUUGAACAUUGCACUCCAAAACACCUUCAUAAUCUGCGGUUUUGCUUAUGUACAAGGCCCCAAGCACUAGAGGCAGCAAAGCAACCCCACAGCAUUAUCAAACCUUCCCUAUGUGUGUAGUUAUUUUCUUAAUUUGGUUGUUGGUUAACAUAGGAAGCCCCCCACUGCCGAAGAAGACUCAAGAAAGCCUGAUUGAAUGCUGGACUGUAGUGGAGUGGCCAGCCAAUAUUCCAGAUCUACAUCCCAUCCAAAACCUAUGGUAAGAGCUGAAAAUAGCAGUUGGAAGAAUAAGAGCAAUUUGCUGUGAAGUGGGACAAAUUGCCAGUAGGAAGGUGCAGCAAGCUCAUUGAUGGUACAAGAAGUGUUUGUCUGCAGUUGGCCAAAGGCUGUAAUUUUGUCUGCCAAUUGUUUUUCUUUUCUAAAUUAGUAGUUUGCAAAAAUACAAUGGGUUCUAGAAUGUUGCAAAUCCAAGGUCUGGAGACAAAGUUCUCAAUUUCAAACUAUUUUUGAAGAAAUGGGGAAUUAAUUGAGAAGUGCAAGGGUGCCAACUAGUUUGUUACAAAGUUUAUCCCUUGUGUAAAAAUCAACAAUGUUGCACAUGGUUUGAC
ensembl:lncRNA